rnacentral:rRNA from 1 species
GAUGAACGCUGGCGGCGUGCCUAAUACAUGCAAGUCGAGCGAACAGACGAGGAGCUUGCUCCUCUGACGUUAGCGGCGGACGGGUGAGUAACACGUGGAUAACCUACCUAUAAGACUGGGAUAACUUCGGGAAACCGGAGCUAAUACCGGAUAACAUGUUGAACCGCAUGGUUCAACAGUGAAAGACGGUCUUGCUGUCACUUAUAGAUGGAUCCGCGCCGCAUUAGCUAGUUGGUAAGGUAACGGCUUACCAAGGCAACGAUGCGUAGCCGACCUGAGAGGGUGAUCGGCCACACUGGAACUGAGACACGGUCCAGACUCCUACGGGAGGCAGCAGUAGGGAAUCUUCCGCAAUGGGCGAAAGCCUGACGGAGCAACGCCGCGUGAGUGAAGAAGGUCUGCGGAUCGUAAAACUCUGUUAUUAGGGAAGAACAAAUGUGUAAGUAACUAUGCACGUCUUGACGGUACCUAAUCAGAAAGCCACGGCUAACUACGUG